GCUCUCCGGAGAAGUCCUGAUCAGGAUGCCGAAGGUGCAAGGCGCAAGCCAAUCUCUCAGGCAAAAGGACGGAGUAA
rnacentral:ncRNA from 1 species